AGCGAACGCUGGCGGCAGGCCUAACACAUGCAAGUCGUACGGAUCCUUCGGGAUUAGUGGCGGACGGGUGAGUAACACGCGGGAACGUUCCCUUUGGUUCGGAACAACUCAUGGAAACUUGUGCUAAUACCGGGUGUGCGCUUUGGGGGAAAGAUUUAUCGCCAUUGGUUCGGCCCGCGUCUGAUUAGCUAGUUGGUGAUGUAAAGGCUCACCAAGGCGACGAUCAGUAGCUGGUCUGAGAGGAUGAUCAGCCACAUUGGGACUGAGACAAGGCCCAAACUCCUACGGGAGGCAGCAGUGGGGAAUCUUGCGAAAUGGGCGAAAGCCUGACGCAGCCAUGCCGCGUGAAUGAUGAAGGUCUUAGGAUUGUAAAAUUCUUUCACCGGGGACGAUAAUGACGGUACCCGGAGAAGAAGCCCCGGCUAACUUCGUGCCAGCCGCCGCAGUAAGAC
rnacentral:rRNA from 1 species